AAGACAUUAGUAAAAUAUAUAUAUUAUAACACCUUGUCAAGGUGAAGUUGCAGGUUAAACCCCUGUAUGUCUUA
rnacentral:tRNA from 1 species